CAAAGUCGUGCGCAAACAUAUAGUCCAUAUGGUAUGCCUUUGAGCCUUUUGGAGGUCACCUGCUGAUGAUUCGAGUAGAGAGCAAGGCAUCAGUUACGCCAUGUCCUCUGCGGGCGCUUGGGCCAUCGUUGUCAUCGUACUAGCAGACGCAGCGUGCAAUGUACUAUCCUCUUAUUAUUCUCCUUCUAAGGACGAGUGCGUGAAGUGUACUUGCAAAUACGCCGAGGAGAGCCUAUGCGAAUGGAAUGAUGAAACAAACUGUUACUGUGUCCAUGGCUGCUACAGAGAUGGCGUCCACGGCAACCUCUUAUCGAUUAGGGAGUGCUUUCCUAUACUGAAUGACUACGAUUAACAUUUGUUCUUGCACCUAAGCGUAAUGCAUUGAAAUAUUACUAUACUUUAGAAGGUUGGACGUUCCAUUGAAGAAUAAAAAGACGUACCACACAAGAUGACAUGAGGCAUAAAUAGUUUCCUUU